UGGGGAAUAUUGCGCAAUGGGGGGAACCCUGACGCAGCCAUGCCGCGUGAAUGAAGAAGGCCUUCGGGUUGUAAAGUUCUUUCGGUAUUGAGGAAGGUUGAUGUGUUAAUAGCACAUCAAAUUGACGUUAAAUACAGAAGAAGCACCGGCUAACUCCGUGCCAGCGGCCGCGGUAAUACGGAGGGUGCGAGCGUUAAUCGGAAUAACUGGGCGUAAAGGGCACGCAGGCGGUUAUUUAAGUGAGGUGUGAAAGCCCCGGGCUUAACCUGGGAAUUGCAUUUCAGACUGGGUAACUAGAGUACUUUAGGGAGGGGUAGAAUUCCACGUGUAGCGGUGAAAUGCGUAGAGAUGUGGAGGAAUACCGAAGGCGAAGGCAGCCCCUUGGGAAUGUACUGACGCUCAUGUGCGAAAGCGUGGGGAGCAAACAGGAUUAGAUACCCUGGUAGUCCACGCUGUAAACGCUGUCGAUUUGGGGGUUGGGGUUUAACUCUGGCGCCCGUAGCUAACGUGAUAAAUCGACCGCCUGGGGAGUACGGCCGCAAGGUUA
rnacentral:rRNA from 1 species